UGGCUGUGGCUUGUUCUGUCUCUCUGAUCUUUCAGAAUUUACCCCAAUAUCUGGCUCUGGGUUUUUGUUUUUUUUUUUUAUUUUUAUUUACAAAUAAGACAGUUUAGAAAUUCGUCUUAUAGACUAACAGUGAAUAAAAUUAGCCCUUCUCCAUAAUAUGCUUCUGUCACAUUGUCGUAUCAUAGUGAUGAGGCACGAAACCAAGACAAUUAGCUUAAAUUUUUUCUAAAUUAUAUAUUACACAUAUGUAUACACAUGUGUACUAGACAAAUUUUAUUGUUGAGCGAUGGCCGAGGCCAACAGCCUUAUUGUCUUUCUAAAAAUUAUUCUAUUACUAUUAUUUUGUGUGUGUGUAUGUAUAUGUCAUGGUGUGUACAUAGGGGUUAGAAGAUAAUUUGUAGGACUUGGUUCACCCCUUCUGUCAUGUGGGUCCUGGGGAUUGAACUCAGAUCAUCAGGCUUGGCUGUAAGAGUCUUAACUUACUGAGACAUCUCACUGGCUAGUCAUACAGGAGUAUUUUAAUAUAUGAAUUACCUUGUGUUCUUAGCCCUUAGCCUAGUACCUGGCAUGUGAUAGAUCGUCAAUGAAAAUUUACUGCAUGAACAAAUGAUGCAUAUAUAACUAUGUACAAAGAAGGUACACGUAUUUUUUUUCAUAGAAGAAAAAAAUCAGGACAGAUCCCCAAAGGCAUGCCGAAGAGUGGGGACCACUGUGUGGUGCCAUUGUUAGCUAGUUAAUUCCAUUUAUCCCGGGCAGGCAGAGCCCAGCCCUGUUCCAAGGGCUCUACCCACGUGGACCAGUAUCUACUGAGCACAUUUCUCACAGAGCAAAUAAACCUAGUUAUUUUAAAACACAAGGCCAACAUCAUGAAACUCACAAUUGCCUCUGAAAAUUAUGUUCCCUUCUAAGCCUACGCAGAAGUCCUGGCUGCUGAUUUUCUGUUAAGAGUGGAGCUUGGUUGUGUGGGCAUAACCACCCCAGGAAGAAGUAACCAGGGCCCACAGCCCAUCUGAAGGCUGAUGGAUGAGGGGACCUACCUGGUCACAGUGAGUCCUUCCCCUCUAGUCCCUCCAGUGAUCUUGAAGCUAGAGAAGGGAGACGCACAUCCUCCUAGCUAGUUGGAAAACCUUCCUUCUCAUUUGCUCAGCACUGGCAGGGGUCAUAUAAAAAUAAGACCCUCUUGUCUUUUUGACAGCCACACAUAUAGGAGGAUGGGAAAGAAAAUGCAGACAGUGCCCCAAUCCAAGAGGGAAAUAGUUUCACCAAACCGAAGUUACAUUACAGCCCGGCUGGGAACCCUUGUGUUUAUGAAGCCAAGUUCCUUUGUUAAUGGUUACAUAAGUCUAAUCAGGGUGUAGAUUUCUUAACUGUAUUCACACACAGAUGCUUUUCAAUCACUGUGAUUUAUUUUUCAAUAACACUUCCUUUUUUUAAAAAAAGAAAAGCUUCAAAAUUCUGUCAUCCUCCUCUCUAUGUAAUUUCCAAGGGCAGAAAAUUUCAACUAGAAUUAAGUAAACACAUGUAAUUUCAUAUUUUAAGACUUGAUUUUUUUUUGAAUUACAGUUGAAUGUUAUUGCAGUAUGAUUUAUUUGACAUAUUGAGAAAUAAUUGAGUCAGAUCUUGUUCCCUGGAAGACAAUUACAUGCAGCGAAAUCUCCAGGAUUUUAAAGCAGAGAUGGAUUGUGGAGGUGUGCGCUAGGAAAACUUGUGACUGAGCAAUGGGAAGACAAGAAGAUUACGAAGAUGUUUGUAGAUUUUCAUAAGAGCACCCAGGGGAACUACUAUAAAUAUCCACAGAAGGAGACUGGAAUUUUUGCUGGACCUCACAGCCAGAGUUAAUAAAUAAUACACUUUACAAAUCACGUAAGACUGCUCUCCUACUGUGUACUCAGCCUGUUGGUUUAACUUGCCUGUAAGAGAACAAGCAAUUUUACUUGCCUUGGGUUUUCCCCAAGUAAUCAACGUUUACAACCUAAGCUAAUUGUAUAGCUGUAGUCAUAAGUUAAAAACUCUUCCAUGCCCUGACCCAUAUAAUGUAUGUGUAUCAUCUUUCAAAAGCAGCAAAUACAGAGGGUGAAAGUCACCAUUUAUGGAUAUUGGUUGAUAAACAAUGAUAUCUGGAGGACUGUUUGUUGUCUGGGUCAGCUGGGGCCAGUUGGAGCCAGCGACUUAGUCCCUUAUAAAAUUCUGUUUGUAAAGUGUUCCAUUCCUUCCUUGUGUGAUGCUUUUUAUGCUCGUCAAUAAAUACAGAGUGAAGCCCUUUGUUAGAGACAGAAACACACAGCUCACACAACACACCAACACAGAGACACACACAGAUACAGAAACAGACAGACACACAAAGACAACAGAUAGAGACCAGACGACACAGGGGGCUUGAAGCAGAUAAUUCAAAAUCUGGAUGUAUGUACUCUUGGUUAAACAAUUCCAAGGGGAAGUGUUUUUCUUUCUGUCUUCAAUGUGAUAUUACCUAUGCAUUAUUGGUGACUUGGGGUUAAACAAUAAGGUGUAUGCCAGGCGGUGGUGGUGCACGCCUUUAAUCCCAGCACUCGGGAGGCAGAGGCAGGUGGGUCUCUGUGAGUUCGAGGCCAGCCUGGUCUCCAAAGUGAGUUCCAGGAAAGGCGCAAAGCUAUGCAGAGAAACCCUGUCUCGAAAAAAAAAACAAAAAAAAAAAAACCAACAACAAUAAGGUGUAUAAUCUGUGCAAAACUGUUGACAUUUGAAGUAGUGGUUAUUUUAGGGGGAUAGGUGAAAUAAAACAGAGACAGAAACUCAAGGAGCUUCAAAGUCAUUUUUUUUUCAGCUAGCAGAUAAAUAUAUGACUAUUUCAUUUUGAUUCUUUUGAAAUGUUAUAUAUAAUGUACAUGUUUCUGAAUUUCACAACAAAAAUUUUCAAAUAGCAUCAAUACCAUGGAGCCUCUCCUGAGCACUUAGGACAGGACUCUGACCUUGGU